rnacentral:rRNA from 1 species
UACGUAGGGGGCGAGCGUUGUCCGGAUUUAUUGGGCGUAAAGAGCGUGUAGGCGGCCAGGUAGGUCUGCUGUGAAAACUCGAGGCUCAACCUCGAGACGUCGGCGGAAACCAUCUGGCUAGAGUCCGGAAGAGGAGAGUGGAAUUCCUGGUGUAGCGGUGAAAUGCGCAGAUAUCAGGAAGAACACCCGUGGCGAAGGCGACUUUCUGGCCUGUUCUUGACGCUGAGGCGCGAAAGCUAGGGGAGCAAACGGG